UACGUAGGGGGCAAGCGUUAUCCGGAUUUACUGGGUGUAAAGGGAGCGUAGACGGCGGUGCAAGCCAGAUGUGAAAGCCCGGGGCUCAACCCCGGGACUGCAUUUGGAACUGUAUGGCUGGAGUGUCGGAGAGGCAGGCGGAAUUCCUAGUGUAGCGGUGAAAUGCGUAGAUAUUAGGAGGAACACCAGUGGCGAAGGCGGCCUGCUGGACGAUGACUGACGUUGGGGCUCGAAAGCGUGGGGAGCAAACAGG
rnacentral:rRNA from 1 species